rnacentral:ncRNA from 1 species
AAGCAGCUGGUGCCGUUAAAAAACGGAGAAUAGGGAAGCAGGUGAGAGACCUGCGCGAUCUCGUCACUGUAUGCAGGAGCGGCUUAUCAUACGUCACUGAGCCAUCGGGAAGACGAUAAGCAGCGCUUGUACUGUAAGCCAGGAGACCUGCCAGAC